AUCAGUGUCAAACUCAACACCACCGUGGUGCUGACAUACAAGGUAAAGACCGAAUCAGACUCAUCAGAAUGAAUGCCUGUUUAAUCUAGAAGAAGUAGUAUAAAUAUAUAUCCUUUAAUAUCUGGGAACAUGUGAAGCUUUUUAGCUCUCGAAAAAAAUGUAGAAAACUACUGGAGGUCAAAUAAUUACCCCUCGACUGGAAAUUCAUAGUGAUUAGACUGCACCUGCAGGGUGCGCAGCAGCUACUGAUUUUACAAACUUAAUUCUCAUAAUUACUUACACACAGCCAUGGCUAAUGGAUCAAACCCAAGACGGUACCUAUGCCAUAAAAUAUGAGCAUAAAUGUGAUUUAUUUGUGUGCAUGAUAUGGGAAACAUGAUCUUUCUUGAUACUAGCAGCAGGGGCUGAAAGAUUCACAUUGAAAUUUGACUGCUAUUACGUGUUGCUCUUGCCAUUUUAGUUUCUUGGAGUCAGAAAUAAUCAUGUAGUGAACACAUGUGUUGGUACACGUGUCAAAAGCCAGCCACUCUCCAAACUUUGAGUCUUAAAAAAAUGUAAAAAUACAAGUUAUAGAAAACGUCUCCCAUGAUGCAGUUGUUAUAAAGGUAGACCUUACCCCCAGAAAACAAAAAAAGGUUUCAUGUAUCAAGCUGUAAACAUCUUUAUUUCUGCUGUAAAGUCUGUGAGGACUGGCUCGCUUUUGGAGACAGCAGAGGAACUGCAGAAGUUGCACAUGUAAACAUGUAAACACUUUCUUAUUCAUUUUUUAACCUUAUAAUCCUCCCAGUCACCCACUCCUGUAAACCACUAUUUCCCAUUGAUUAAAAUAUAUCUAACACAUAUAUCUAGUUUUCAUUUUAAUUUCAAAUCAAAACCCACAAAUGAGCAGUCAACACCACCGUUUAGGGUUUUUCCCUCGUAACUGCAAGAUACCAACUUCAGUAUUCGAAACACAGAUUCAGACCAACAGAGUUUCAUAUGAAACAAAUGAAAUAAAACAGCAAAAUAAUUUAAAGUUUGGUUUCUUUUUCUCUAACAAGGUACCAGGUUCUUUAGGGGCUAAAUGUUGAUCUUGUUUGUAAAAUGACGUUGAUAGCAGCGGAACAAUCAGCUGAAAAACUCUGUAGAUUUGAGGGAACUGUGGUAUAAGGUUGAAAUGAAUUAAGGAAGUAAAUAUACAUUCAAACAAAACAAUGAAAGCGUUUCCUCUUAUGAGCUGUGACCAUGUAGCUGGUAACAUUCAUGCUUUCAGAGUCUGUGUGUGAAAAACAGUAGAACGUGGUCUUAGAAACCGAGGACAUUUCCAGGAUAUUUCAAAUGGGAGCCAUGAGCACAAUGCUCAGUCUCAAUGCAGAAAUUAUGACACAAAAUUUAGCUUUAGCUUAGCAAAAUGUUUUUUACAUAUCCACAGUAAAUGUUCUUUAAGUAAAAGUACUCCUUGUGCUGCUGAUCAUUAUUGAUUAAUUGAUGUGUAUAUCAUGUCAGUGUUGCAGCUGGAGAUGAUUACAAUUACUUAUAUACUGCUGUUUAGCUUUGUCUACAGUGUUACAGGAUCAUAUAUUAGUGGCUUUAUGUUUCAAAAUCUGCUAAAUAAAGUGUAACUGAUGCUUUGAAAUAAGUUUAGAUUAGAUGUUUUUUAUGCAAUUAUUUAAAAAAUGAAUUACUGUUUUGGUAAAACACCAAUAAAAAAUACUCCAUGUAAAACAGUAGGUUAUAAAGUCAGUAAUAAACCUAAAUCAUAUUUAGGAGAAAUGUAAUAGUGCUGAAUUGAUAACGUAAUAAUAGAGCGGUAAUUGCUGAUGAAAAGCUUCUUAUGAUGUUUUUGUUCAGCAGCCUGAUUGAUGUGAGAAGCAUGUGGUUGUUCCAUGAACGCUCCUGUACGUGUUCCCUGAAAAUAGGCUGCGAGAAGGAGAGUGGGCUCGUUUGGAGGUGCUUUUACAUCCUUCAGUUUGUCUGUACAGUCCUUCAGAGCAAGACCUGCCAUUCAUCUGAGGGUUGGUGUCAAGAGAGAAUCGAUCCUUUAAAACCACCAACUAAUUAAGUUCCAUAAUUUAAGAACAGGAACCACGGGAUGAUUCAGCCUGAAGACUCACUCUUUGUUUAAUUAUAAGCAUUAGGCUUCCUGAUGGUUUGUUCCUUUAUUUAUAAGGUUCAAAUGUUGUGCUUUAAGCUUUGUCAGCCAAAUUAAGCCAACCUUUAUCUCCUCUCGCUAUCAAAUGGAUAAUUGUACAUGUACAUGUAUACUCCUGCAUCACCGUGCAGCAAAGCACAUAACAACAAAGAAUCAAAAAUCAUCAAAAACUGUAUGACAUGCUAUUCAUUUAUCUUAGGUUUAUUGGAGAAUUACUUAUUGAAUUCAUUUUGGUAGCUAACUGCAAGGUGAGAGACAAAACAUACAAACCACGUGUGUUUAUAUAUGGAAAACAUAAAUGUGUUCAACAUCUAAAUAAAGAGUUUUAUAACAAGAAAUGUCUUAUAAUGCUGGUUAAAAACAUGCCUGGUGACACAUGAUUCACAGUAUUAUGUGUUUUAAUGCAACUUCAAACGUCUUAAUGUGUUAUAAUUUCAUAGACUUCUAGACAUCCAUAAAUUCCUGCCUCUUUCACACAAAAUGUGAAAAAUACAUUUGUUUUGAAUUAAAAUGUUUCAUGUUUAAAUGAAUUAAUCUUCUGGGAAUGUCUUCCUGAACUUAUUUCCA